CCUACGGGAGGCAGCAGUGAGGAAUAUUGGUCAAUGGGCGGAAGCCUGAACCAGCCAAGUAGCGUGCAGGAUGACGGCCCUACGGGUUGUAAACUGCUUUUAUACGGGAAUAACGCGCCUUACGUGUAGGGCUUUGCAUGUACCGUAUGAAUAAGGACCGGCUAAUUCCGUGCCAGCAGCCGCGGUAAUACGGAAGGUCCGUGCGUUAUCCGGAUUUAUUGGGUUUAAAGGGAGCGUAGGCCGCAUGUCAAGCUUGAGGUGAAAUGUCCGGGCUCAACCCGGGCCUUGCAGCGCGAACUGGCGGGCUUGAGUGCGCGGAAGGCAGGCGGAAUGCGUGGUGUAGCGGUGAAAUGCUUAGAUAUGACGCAGAACCCCGAUUGCGAAGGCAGCUUGCUGCAGCGGAACUGACGCUGAUGCUCGAAAGCGUGGGUAUCGAACAGGAUUAGAUACCCUAGUAGUC
rnacentral:rRNA from 1 species